AGUGAACGCUGGCGGUAGGCCUAACACAUGCAAGUCGAACGGCAGCACAGUAAGAGCUUGCUCUUACGGGUGGCGAGUGGCGGACGAGUGAGGAAUACAUCGGAAUCUACUUUUUCGUGGGGGAUAACGUAGGGAAACUUACGCUAAUACCGCAUACGACCUACGGGUGAAAGCAGGGGAUCUUCGGACCUUGCGCGAUUGAAUGAGCCGAUGUCGGAUUAGCUAGUUGGCGGGGUAAAGGCCCACCAAGGCGACGAUCCGUAGCUGGUCUGAGAGGAUGAUCAGCCACACUGGAACUGAGACACGGUCCAGACUCCUACGGGAGGCAGCAGUGGGGAAUAUUGGACAAUGGGCGAAAGCCUGAUCCAGCAAUACCGCGUGGGUGAAGAAGGCCUUCGGGUUGUAAAGCCCUUUUGUUGGGAAAGAAAAGCAGCAGGUUAAUACCCCGCUGUUCUGACGGUACCCAAAGAAUAAGCACCGGCUAACUUCGUG
rnacentral:rRNA from 1 species